rnacentral:rRNA from 1 species
AGGAGGCAGCAGUGGGGAAUCUUGCGCAAUGGGCGAAAGCCUGACGCAGCAACGCCGCGUGUGUGAUGAAGGUCUUCGGAUCGUAAAGCACUGUCGCGAGGGACGAAUAAGGUGUCGGCUAACAUCCGGCGCUGAUGACGGUACCUCGAGAGGAAGCACCGGCUAACUCUGUGCCAGCAGCCGCGGUAAUACAGAGGGUGCAAGCGUUGUUCGGAAUUAUUGGGCGUAAAGCGCGUGUAGGCGGCUCAGCAAGUCGGAUGUGAAAGCCCUCGGCUUAACCGAGGAAGGGCGUUCGAAACUACUGAGCUUGAGUGCCGGAGAGGGUGGCGGAAUUCCCGGUGUAGAGGUGAAAUUCGUAGAUAUCGGGAGGAACACCAGCGGCGAAGGCGGCCACCUGGACGGUAACUGACGCUGAGACGCGAAAGCGUGGGGAGCAAACAGGAUUAGAUACCCUGGUAGC